GUUCGGGUCGAUGUGUGUGAUACCAUCACUCCUUCUCCAUCCGCUCACGAGGACGCAGCGAGAGAUUAACUCUAAUCUCACUUACAACUGCUUAUCGUGCUGCGCGGCUGCAGUCCAGCCUCAGCAGGAAACACUCGGCGUCAGUUGCCGUUACACUUAUGAUACAGCAGCAACUUAAUGUGUCUGUAGGUGAAUUAUUUUUAAGUUGUGGAAGAUUUUGGUUUUACAUACAGUUACAUACAUACACACUUUUCACUGUAUUCUCUGGGUCUUUACAGUAAACACUGAGAAAAGGCCAUUAUACAAACACACACUUCAUAUUAAUAAACCCUGCACAGCUGCGCAGAUGUUUUAGCUCCUCCAACUGACUUACCCUGGCCUUAAAUAGACCUAAAUAAUGAAAAGCACAGUGGUGGAGCAGGCUGAGAUUAUGCGAGGUGGCCCCUCUGUGAGAGCUGCAGGUGGAGUCUGAUGUCUCAUCUUUAGCUGCACACACACUAAGAGGAUUUACUCAGACUGGAAGGGAUAUAAAUAAAGACACAGAUCUUUGCCCUGAGAGACAGUAAAAGAUGGGUUCUGCAGUAAUUUGUAGCUUUUAAACUGGUUGGUGCAAUAAAUGAUCUGUUUAAGAUAAAACCAUUGAUCCCUGAAUUCAUUUGGAUCGAUUUGUUUUUUGGUUCAUGUCAUAUUUCAAGUUAUAAUGUACUAGAAACACUACUUAAGUAAGCAUUAAACCACUGUACUUGUACAUUAUAGGAACUAAUGUUGAAGUUGAGUUGUUACAAAUGUGAUUUUAUCUCCUUCGUGGAUCAUAAAGUGGUUUUUGUCAUGUUGUUCCCCCUCCUCCUCCCGCCACCCCCUGCUGGGAGGUGCUGCAGGGUGGAUCAGCAGCGAGUGCAGACUGAAAAUCACGGGCUGUGUUUGCUCCUGCGUUAAAUCACUCUGUUGGAUCCACACAUGCAGAGAAGCACGGGUCCUCAGCUCAGGUCGGACACGAUGGAGCGCGAACAAACGACGGGAUUCAUCUAGAGCCGCCGCUGACGUCUCCUCGUGUUUGGAUCAGGCCAUGGACAUAGAGGAGCAGACUUCUUUGUUGGGGACAGGACUGGUGUCCAGGAUGUUCCACAUGCUACGGUCUGCACGGAGCAGUGUUGCUCCUGCAGAGGACGGCUUGAGGCGCAGAGGAAGUGAUGCCCAGCGGCUCCUGGCUGCACACAACAUGAACAACUGCAACAACAACGAUGGGUGAGAUCACACGUGGUUGUGUUGCACAAUCACAACACUCUUAGUCCGUCAGCUUAGCACUUCAGCAAGAUCUGUUCUGGUUCUAUUCUAUCUAUUUUUUAUAAUAUCAACAACUACCCCAAGUUGCACUUUGCUGUGUGUGAAAUGCAUUUUUUUCAGUGAAGAUCAGACGUAGGUCAACAUUGGUUGAGCUGAGUUAGAAUAAAUGUUUCCUUUUAAAAAUAUCUAUGUGACA
rnacentral:lncRNA from 1 species